UACGAAGGGGGCUAGCGUUGCUCGGAAUCACUGGGCGUAAAGGGUGCGUAGGCGGGUCUUUAAGUCAGGGGUGAAAUCCUGGAGCUCAACUCCAGAACUGCCUUUGAUACUGAGGAUCUUGAGUUCGGGAGAGGUGAGUGGAACUGCGAGUGUAGAGGUGAAAUUCGUAGAUAUUCGCAAGAACACCAGUGGCGAAGGCGGCUCACUGGCCCGAUACUGACGCUG
rnacentral:rRNA from 1 species